rnacentral:rRNA from 1 species
UGCAAGUCGAACGAACCUUCGGGUUAGUGGCGGACGGGUGAGUAACGCGUGAGAAUCUGCCCUCAGGAGGGGGAUAACAGUUGGAAACGACUGCUAAUACCCCAUAUGCCGAGAGGUGAAACUAAUUUCGCCUGGGGAUGAGCUCGCGUCUGAUUAGCUUGUUGGUGGGGUAAUGGCCUACCAAGGCUUUGAUCAGUAGCUGGUCUGAGAGGACGAUCAGCCACACUGGGACUGAGACACGGCCCACACUCCUACGGGAGGCAGCAGUGGGGAAUUUUCCGCAGUGGGCGAAAGCCUGACGGAGCAACGCCGCGUGAGGGAUGAAGGCCUUUGGGCUGUAAACCUCUUUUCUCAAGGAAAAAGAUCUGACGGUACUUGAGGAAUAAGCCACGGCUAAUUCCGUGCCAGCAGCCGCGGUAAUACGGGAGUGGCAAGCGUUAUCCGGAAUUAUUGGGCGUAAAGCGUCCGCAGGCGGCCGUUUAAGUCUGUUGUUAAAUUGUGGAGCUCAACUCCAUCACGGCAAUGGAAACUGUUCGGCUUGAGUAUGGUAGGGGCAGAGGGAAUUUCCGGUGUAGCGGUGAUAUGCGUAUAUAUCGGGAAGAACACCAGUGGCGAAAGCGCUCUACUGGGCCAUUACUGACGCUCAUGGACGAAAGCCAGGGGAGCGAAAUGGAUUAUAUACCCAUGUAGUCCUGGCCGUAAACGAUGAACACUAGAUGUUGGGGGAAUCGACCCCCUCAGUGUCGUAGCUAACGCGUUAAGUGUUCCGCCUGGGGAGUACGCACGCAAGUGUGAAACUCAAAGGAAUUGACGGGG